CUGCCGGUCAUGUUGGACUGUGGAACGCAUGGACAGCAAGGUGUUUGGCCUGCCUCACACUGUGCUGGGCCGGCUGGGUUUCACAAUGGGCAAACAGUUUGCGUACAUAGACUCAUGUACGCACGCAGCUCCAAGGGGUCAAGGGAGUACAAUCCCCUGGUAGGAAAGCAGGAGAAGGUCUAACUCACAAAGAUUAGGAGGAGGAAGCUAAAUGACCAAGAGAGAGCAGACAACUAAUGGUUAUCCACAAUAAAGCUGGUUUAACAUUGUUCUGUUUAUUAUCUUUUGUUAAUACUGUUUUAAUAACGUUCCAUUUAGAACUAUUGAAUAAUAUUUCAAGAACUUUGUUUAGUGCAGUUGAAUCCUGUUUUAGUAAAGUUUUCUAAAGAAAAAGCAUGAAACUAUCUAUCUACAAGACACACUCACUCACUCACUCAUACACAGAACCCCCCCCCCCCCACACACACACACACAUACACGCACACACACACACACACACACACACACACACACACACACACACACACACACACACACACACACACACACACACACACACACACACCCAC